rnacentral:rRNA from 1 species
AGUGAACGCUGGCGGUAGGCCUAACACAUGCAAGUCGAACGGCAGCACAGUAAGAGCUUGCUCUUACGGGUGGCGAGUGGCGGACGGGUGAGGAAUACAUCGGAAUCUACUUUUUCGUGGGGGAUAACGUAGGGAAACUUACGCUAAUACCGCAUACGACCUACGGGUGAAAGCAGGGGAUCUUCGGACCUUGCGCGAUUGAAUGAGCCGAUGUCGGAUUAGCUAGUUGGCGGGGUAAAGGCCCACCAAGGCGACGAUCCGUAGCUGGUCUGAGAGGAUGAUCAGCCACACUGGAACUGAGACACGGUCCAGACUCCUACGAGAGGCAGCAGUGGGGAAUAUUGGACAAUGGGCGCAAGCCUGAUCCAGCCAUACCGCGUGGGUGAAGAAGGCGUUCGGGUUGUGAAGCCCUUUUGUUGGGAAAGAAAAGCAGCAGGUUAAUACCCAGCUGUUCUGACGGUACCCAAAGAAUAAGCACCGGCUAACUUCGUG